CCGCCGCGCAGGUUAAUUGAACACGCGACAGAAAGGUUCCGCCUGCUUCCGACCCGAACCUGCGGUGGAACCCGGAUGUAGCUGAGGCGAAACUGGGACAUUGCGCCCCCUGGUGUCGCACGGAGGUCUCGCGCAGUUUCUCUCGGAAAGAGGAGGACGUUGGUAGCCGUGGUCCCAGGUUCCUGCAUGGCGAUCAAUGGUUGGCUGAUGCUGAGUGGUGGUGGCUGAGAUCGCAGCUGCCACCAUCCUACCUUCCUUACACCUGCCUGGCCCCCGAGGACAGAAACCAUACAUUUCCGCAUGACACCCCAGAACCUUUUUACAUUUGUUUCUCCUCUCAUCACUUUUACUCUUCUACCAUAUGCUGGUCCCUGGGCUCACCGUUUCUCUACACAAUUGUGUUCACCGGGCACUUGGCCUGUCGUGCCUUUCCCUUUCCUGGCGUCUUGGCAAGUUCCUGCCUGUCCUCAAGUUCUAGCUCAAGAAGGAUGCCCACGAAAUAGAGUGAUGAUUUUUCCUCUAGCACUAUGUUUUACAGCCCUUACUACACUUGACUGUAAUUGUUCACAAGUUUGUUCUUCUUACUAGGUAAUAAACUUCUUGGGGGCAGUGUCUGUCUAGUUAUCUAUCAAAACACCUAAGAUACUUCUUGGCACAUAAUAGAUGGUCAAUAGGUGUUUGCUGACUGACUGAAUGAAUAAACAUG